rnacentral:rRNA from 1 species
GUGGAAUUUCUUGGACAAUAAGGAUGUUGGCUUAGAAGCAGCCAUUCAUUUAAAGAGUGCGUAACAGCUCACUUAUCAAGAGAUUCUGCGCGGAAAAUGUAACGGGGCUUAAGCAUAUUACCGAAGCUGCGGGCGUGAAUAUGGGACCAAGUCUGUGGUCCUUAUCGCAACCUGCUCUAAAAAGGGAAAAAGAGCAACCCGAGCAAAAAUCGCAUUUUUUGCCCGGCGCGAUGAGAAAAAACCAUAGGUUUUGUCUCAUAUUUGCGCGGUAGAGGAGCGUUGAUAUCGCAUCGAAGUCAGACUGUAAGGUCUGGUGGAGCGUUAUCAAGUGAGAAUGCUGGAAUGAGUAACCAUAAGGGCAGUGAGAAUCUGCCCCACCGAAAGAGCGAGGUUUCCUGGGCCAUGGUAAUCAACCCAGGGUUAGUCGGUCCUAAGCCGAGGCGAAUAGCGUAGGCGAUGGCCAACGGGUUAAUAUUCCCGUACCGGCGACGUAUUGUUUUUGGAUGCGCGGUCAUGGUAGCAGAAGCGGAAUCAUGGUUUAUCCGUCUAACUGGUCUAACGGGCCAGGAACGAAAGGCCACAUUAGUGGCUGAUUUCUGCCAGAGUGCCGACAAGAAAAGUCCAGAAACUUAUGUACGUAGCCGACCGUACCGCAAACCGACACAGGUGCUCAAGGUCGAGUAGACCAAGGUGUACGAGUGAUUCUUCGUCAAGGAACUCGGCAAUAGAAGCGGCCGUAACUUCGGGAUAAGGCCUGGCUCGCCACAGUGUGCGCAACUAGAGGAUCAGACCUCUGCUCACUGUUUAAACGCCCUUUUGGGGCUAAGUAAACAAGUGUGCUUUGUGCUUACUGUGGCGAGCCCGCAGCUAAGGAACCCAUGGAACUGUUUACCAAAAACACAGGUCUCUGCUAACACGAAAGUGGAUGUAUAGGGGCUGACUCCUGCCCGGUGCUGGAAGGUUAAGGGGAUAAGUAUUACGCUUUGAACUGAAGCCCCAGUGAACGGCGGCGGUAACUAUAACCGUCCUAAGGUAGCGAAAUUCCUUGUCAGGUAAGUUCUGACCCGCACGAAUGGAGUAAUCAUAUGGGUACUGUCUCGACGAAGAGCUCGGUGAAAGUGCAUUGACGGUAAAGAUGCCGUCUGUCCGCAGCAGGACGGAAAGACCCCGUGGAGCUUUACUACAGCUUGGCAUUGAGCCGAGCGUAUACAUGUGUAGGAUAGGUGGGAGGCUUUGAAGCUGGCGCGCUAGCGCCGGUGGAGCCGCCGGUGAAAUACCACCCUUGUAUACGCCAGGUUCUUACCUGGACCGAUUAAUGUUCAUGACCUUUGCAGCUGUUCUUUAAGGAAAAAGAGCAGCCCGACAAAAUGUAUUCCAUUUUGCCGGCGCGAUGAGAAAAAACCAUUUGGUUUUGUCUCAUGGGCAUUAACCGGUUCGGGGACAGUGUCUGGUGGGUAGUUUAACUGGGGCGGUUGCCUCCCAAAGAGUAGCGGAGGCGUUCAAAGGUUGGCUUACUACGGAUGGAAAUCGUAGUGAAAGUGCAUACGCAAAAGCCAGCUUGACUGUGAGGCCUACAAGCCGAGCAGGCACGAAAGUGGGAGUAAGUGAUCCGCUGUUUAUGCAUCCUUUCGGGGAUGUAUGAGAGUGGUAUCGACAGCGCAAACGGAUAAAAGUUACCCCGGGGAUAACAGGCUUAUAGCGCCCAAUAGUUCACAUAGACGGCGCUGUUUGGCACCUCGAUGUCGGCUCAUCUCAUCCUGGGGCUGGAGCAGGUCCCAAGGGUCCGGCUGUUCGCCGGUUAAAGAGGUACGUGAGCUGGGUUCAGAACGUCGUGAGACAGUUCGGUUUAUAUCCGCUGUGGACGUCAGGAAAUUUGAGAGGAUUUGUCCCUAGUACGAGAGGACCGGGACGAACGCACCGCUGGUGUACCAGUUGUCAGACCACUGGCAUGGCUGGGUAGCUAUAGUGCGGAACAGAUAAGCGCUGAAAGCAUAUUAAGCGCGAAACUGACCUCAAGAUUAGAUUUCCCUAGAGACCCCUGGAAGACUACCAGGUUGAUAGGCACUAGGUAUAAGCGUGGCAACACGUUCAGCCGAGGUGUACUAAUCGGUCCAUUGACUUUUUACG